UACGUAGGGUGCGAGCGUUAAUCGGAAUUACUGGGCGUAAAGCGUGCGCAGGCGGUUUUGUAAGUCUGUCGUGAAAUCCCCAGGCUCAACCUGGGAACUGCAUCCGAUACUGGAUGGCUUGAAUUCGGGAGAGGGAUGCAGAAUUCCAGGUGUAGCGGUGAAAUGCGUAGAUAUCUGGAGGAAUACCGGUGGCGAAGGCGGCAUCCUGGACCGACAUUGACGCUGAGGAGCGAAAGCCAGGGGAGCAAACGGG
rnacentral:rRNA from 1 species